AUGAACGCUGGCGGCGUGCCUAAUACAUGCAAGUCGAACGAAUCUCUUUUAGAGAUGAGUGGCGAACGGGUGAGUAAUACAUAGGUAACCUGCCCCUGUGCGGGGGAUAACAGGAGGAAACUCCUGCUAAUACCGCAUAGCCAUGAGCACCGCAUGGAGCUCAUGCCAAAUAUCCUUUAUGGGAUAGCGCAGGGAUGGACCUAUGGCGCAUUAGCUGGUUGGCGGGGCAACGGCCCACCAAGGCAACGAUGCGUAGCCGGCCUGAGAGGGCGGACGGCCACAUUGGGACUGUGACACGGCCCAGACUCCUACGGGAGGCAGCAGUAGGGAAUUUUCGGCAAUGGGGGAAACCCUGACCGAGCAACGCCGCGUGAGCGAAGAAGGCCUUCGGGUCGUAAAGCUCUGUUGUAAAGGAAGAACGGCGCAUACAGGAAAUGGUAUGCGAGUGACGGUACUUUACCAGAAAGCCACGGCUAACUACGUGCCAGCAGCCGCGGUAAUACGUAGGUGGCGAGCGUUAUCCGGAAUCAUUGGGCGUAAAGAGGGAGCAGGCGGCCGCAAGGGUCUGUGGUGAAAGCCCGAAGCUAAACUUCGGUAAGCCAUGGAAACCGGGCGGCUAGAGUGCGGAAGAGGAUCGUGGAAUUCCAUGUGUAGCGGUGAAAUGCGUAGAUAUAUGGAGGAACACCAGUGGCGAAGGCGACGGUCUGGGCCGCAACUGACGCUCAUUCCCGAAAGCGUGGGGAGCAAAUAGGAUUAGAUACCCUAGUAGUCCACGCCGUAAACGAUGGUCACUAAGUGUCGGGGGUCAAACCCCGGUGCUGCAGUCAACGCAAUAAGUGACCCGCCUGGGGAGUACGACCGCAAGGUUGAAACUCAAAGGAAUUGAC
rnacentral:rRNA from 1 species